GAUGAACGCUGGCGGCGUGCUUAACACAUGCAAGUCGAGCGAAGCGGCUGAAUUGAUUCUUCGGAUGAUUUUCAGUUGACUGAGCGGCGGACGGGUGAGUAACGCGUGGGUGACCUGCCCCAUACCGGGGGAUAACAGCUGGAAACGGCUGCUAAUAUCGCACAAGCGCACAGAGCUGCAUGGCUCGGUGUGAAAAACUCCGGUGGUAUGGGAUGGGCCCGCGUCUGAUUAGGCAGUUGGCGGGGUAACGGCCCACCAAACCGACGAUCAGUAGCCGGCCUGAGAGGGCGACCGGCCACAUUGGGACUGAGACACGGCCCAAACUCCUACGGGAGGCAGCAGUGGGGAAUAUUGCACAAUGGGGGAAACCCUGAUGCAGCGACGCCGCGUGAGCGAAGAAGUAUUUCGGUAUGUAAAGCUCUAUCAGCAGGGAAGAUAAUGACGGUACCUGACUAAGAAGCCCCGGCUAACUACGUGCCAGCAGCCGCCGUAACAC
rnacentral:rRNA from 1 species